rnacentral:rRNA from 1 species
CCUACGGGCGGCAGCAGUGAGGAAUAUUGGUCAAUGGGCGCGAGCCUGAACCAGCCAAGUAGCGUGAAGGAUGACUGCCCUACGGGUUGUAAACUUCUUUUAUAAAGGAAUAAAGUGAGGCACGUGUGCCUUUUUGUAUGUACUUUAUGAAUAAGGAUCGGCUAACUCCGUGCCAGCAGCCGCGGUAAUACGGUGGAUCCGAGCGUUAUCCGGAUUUAUUGGGUUUAAAGGGAGCGUAGAUGGGUUGUUAAGUCAGUUGUGAAAGUUUGCGGCUCAACCGUAAAAUUGCAAUUGAUACUGGCAGACUUGAGUGCAGAUGAGGUAGGCGGAAUUCGAGGUGUAGCGGUGAAAUGCUUAGAUAUAACGAAGAACUCCGAUUGCGAAGGCAGCUUACUAAACUGCCACUGACAUUGAUGCUCGAAAGUGUGGGUAUCAAACAGGAUUAGAUACCCGGGUAGUC